UUAUGACCAUAUCACGUUGAAACACCGAUUCUCGUGCAAUCGCCGGAGUUAAGCAACGUCGAGCCUGGUUAUUAUCCAGAUAGGUGACUGCAUGGGAAUACCAGUUGUUGUAAG